UACGUAGGGUGCGAGCGUUAAUCGGAAUUACUGGGCGUAAAGCGUGCGCAGGCGGUUCGUCGUGUCCGAUGUGAAAGCCCCGGGCUCAACCUGGGAAUGGCAUUGGAAACUGGCGGACUCGAGUGUGGCAGAGGGGGGUGGAAUUCCGCGUGUAGCAGUGAAAUGCGUAGAGAUGCGGAGGAACACCGAUGGCGAAGGCAGCCCCCUGGGCUAACACUGACGCUCCAGGCACGAAAGCGUGGGGAGCAAACAGG
rnacentral:rRNA from 1 species